AACGAACGCUGGCGGCAUGCCUAACACAUGCAAGUCGAACGAGACCUUCGGGUCUAGUGGCGCACGGGUGCGUAACGCGUGGGAACCUGCCCUUAGGUUCGGAAUAACUCCCCGAAAGGGGUGCUAAUACCGGAUAAUGUCUUCGGACCAAAGAUUUAUCGCCUUUGGAUGGGCCCGCGUUGGAUUAGCUAGUUGGUAGGGUAAAAGCCUACCAAGGCGACGAUCCAUAGCUGGUCUGAGAGGAUGAUCAGCCACACUGGGACUGAGACACGGCCCAGACUUCCGCGAGAGGCAGCAGUGGGAAAUAGUAGACAAGGGGCGAAAGUGUGAGCCAGCGAUGCCGAGUGAGUGGUGAAGGCCUGAGGGUUAAAAAGCUCUUACCCGGGAUGAUAAUGACAGUACCGGGAGAAUAAGCUCCGGCUAACUCCGUG
rnacentral:rRNA from 1 species